CGGGAAACCGGGGCUAAUACCGGAUGCUUGUUUGAACCGCAUGGUUCAAACAUAAAAGGUGGCUUCGGCUACCACUUACAGAUGGACCCGCGGCGCAUUAGCUAGUUGGUGAGGUAAUGGCUCACCAAGGCAACGAUGCGUAGCCGACCUGAGAGGGUGAUCGGCCACACUGGGACUGAGACACGGCCCAGACUCCUACGGGAGGCAGCAGUAGGGAAUCUUCCGCAAUGGACGAAAGUCUGACGGAGCAACGCCGCGUGAGUGAUGAAGGUUUUCGGAUCGUAAAGCUCUGUUGUUAGGGAAGAACAAGUACCGUUCGAAUAGGGCGGUACCUUGACGGUACCUAACCAGAAAGCCACGGCUA
rnacentral:rRNA from 1 species